UGCUCCAUCAUUGAAAUGUGGCUGUGCCUCUAUGCAGAAUAUUUUUGAGGUCCGAAGACUUGGACAACCUGAAAUAUCUCAGGGCCUUCCUGUUACUCAUUAUGCCUGAAUCAGAGGGGAACUUCCAUGUCCUUCCCCAGCUGGAGAACACAGAUCCUGUCCAGCACCACCCCAAGUGAUGUAAUUGCCUCCAGUAGCCAUGGCCUAAUUUACCUGCUUAUAUUUUUGGAGCAUAUUAUCACAUUCCCUGUGAAGGAGGAGGAAUAGCCCUGAAAACCGAAGCUGGCCCUACACCAGCACUGAACACACAGGAAGAUAUGGAGCCAUGAGUGGCCUCUGUAAACAUUCAGGAAGAGGAGACAGCUUAGCUGCCACUAAGCAAAUCAUGGCUCACCAUCCUCUUAUUCUCCAAGACACACUAUUGAAGUAGAACCAUUAAUAAAUCAGUAAUGGUUUGUACUAUUUAAAUAAAAGGAAGAGUCUUAUGCUUUGCACUUCACAUAAAAAGCUGUGCAUCUUGCACUACUUUGUCACACUGAGAAUGCAAAGGAAAUGUUCAUGAAGGAAAUUAAAGGGCUGCUCCAGGGCAUAUGUAAAUGACAAAAAGGAAAUAACAGCAUUAUUUCUCAUUCGGAAAAAAACUUUUCAUAGUGUGGAGAAAAGAAGAAACGACCCACGUUCCAUUCAGCCAAAGCCAAAUCCAGAUAAGGCCAUCACGUUACAUUGUUCUACUGACGAGAGAAUUGAGAAAGCUGCAGAAGAAGUUUGAAGUUGCCAGAGUUUGGUUGAUGAUGUUCUUGGCAAGAGGCUCCUCUCCAUAAAAUAAAAGUGCAAGGCAAAGUAGCAAGUACUGAUGCAGAAGCUCUUGCAUGUCAUCAAGGAGGUCUUGCUAACCUAUUUGAUGAAGAUGUUUUGUGGGUUAGGUAGUAGGUGUCCCCAGAAGCUCACAGGUGAGCCAAUGCAAGGUUUAUCAAUGAGAUGAUUCGGUUUUGAGAUCAGUGAGUUAAUCCCUUGACAGAAAUAAACAGGCAGCAGGCAUGGAAGGGCAUGUGAUGGACCCUUCCCAAGCCUAGGGGUGCAGGUGGCACCUGUGGAAGUGUCCAGUGGGUCUGAAAUAAGUCUGGUAUCCAGAACUGGAGCCUACAGAGGCCAGCCUUAGCAUUCCACAGCAGGGUUCCACAUUGGAGUUUCCCAGUGACCCGGAGCAGUGCAGGAUUCUGUAGCAGGAGCAUCCAUCUAUGAGGAGGAUGUCAAACAGGAGUCCCAUGGCAGUUUGGGGAGUCCAGAUGUAUCAGUGGCAGGAUGGAGACUUGGCCUCAGGCUUGGAGGACAGCCACAAGCAGGAACCAGGACAGUGAAGCCUUGGUGUUGGGCCUCUGUGGAAUGUCAGUUUCUGGAGUUCAGUUAUGGCAGCGGUGGCAAAGGCAACUGAGGAGUCUGGAGGUGGUGGCAGCAAGCCAGGCAUCCAGACAGGAGCAUCCUCAUCCUCUGGUGGUGGUGGGAGUCUGUUCCCAAUGCAGUGGUGGUGGCUGCAGCAUUACUGGUGGCUAUGUGGGGACUCCAGUGGCCACAGUGUGGAGCUCUGGUAGCGGUGAUGGUGACAGCAUGGGACAGUGGGCCUCAGAGUCAGAGGGCAACUGGAGGCUGUGAUGGUCUCUGCAGUGGCUCCCCCAGGUGACUGGUCUUGCUUCUAGUAGAACCUGCCUGCUCAGGAAGCAGGACAUAGGAGCUGGUGGUACCCAGACAGCUGCUGAGGUCCUUAUACUGACCAGGCCAGCCAUGCCUGGCAUUGGCCUUGAGUCCACCAGGCAGCUGCUCGCCUGAUCCUUGAGUCCCUCCCAGGGUUGUAGCCUCUAAGGGGUGAGUAGGCCAUCUUCCAGCUGGGGAAGCCUUUGGAGAGGACACCCACCCUCCCCAGGCACAUCUCCCCUGGGCUGUGGCAGCAGAGUGCAGAGGUGGGAGGUGGGGGGGGCCUAGAAAAUCCUCACCCUCCAAGGGCAUCCUGGGGCAGGACAAGAGUGGAGGGCACAGGUGGCAGAGGGAGCCUAAGGGUGCAGACCCUCUGUCUUGGUCUUCUGCUGCCCUUAGCCACAGAAAUGUGCUUUGGGGGUGAAGAUGUCCUAGGACCUCUGAUCUCUGUCCCCACAGUCCAUGCAGGAUGUGGCUGGGGACAGUGGGGUUCUCUCCUAAGGCCACCUCAAUCUGGCAGACAGCCUAGUUCCUCAGUAGAAGCUGUACCAGGGCAUGAGGUGAAGAGGAACCAAGUGGGCUCAUGGCCAGAGCGAGGCAUGGCAGCUGAGGGCAGAUAAGUUCCUGGAUUGCUGCCUGGGUACUGUGGUCUCCCAUAUGCUUCUUCCUGAGCAGGCCAAGUCCACCAGGAGAAAGACCAGGGCCUGGAGCUUCCAGAGGCCAUCUUAGCUACUGGUCACCUUCUCACUCUGAUGCCCACUAUCCCAUGCCCUCACGACCACUGCCAGCCUGGAGCUCUUUGCUGUAGCCACCCAGAUUCCCCACAUGGCCACUGGAUGCCACAUUCACCACCCUGCAGCCGGACCCCAAUUACUGCUGCAGGAAUGAGAUGCUCACUGCUGGACACUGCCUGUUGUUGCUGCCCCUGCUUCUGGGCUCUUCUGGUGCCACCACCAUCAUGCAGCAAUUGAACUUUCAAACUCCAGCUGGAUUCUGAUGCUGCCCACCAAGGACCCAACGUCACUGCACUUCACCCCAAGCCUGAUAUCCGACCCCUAUACUGAGGACCCCUGAUGCAGGUGCAUGUUGCUCUCACCCCUGCCAGACUUUGAAGCUCCACCCUGCUGUCACCAGACUUUAACAUGGACACCAGACAGUGAUGCUCAGCACUGGAUGCCAACUUUAUUGCAACUGCAGCCAGACUCUUGUCACUAUGGCAGGAUGACAACCCUCAGGACUGGAUGCCUCUGUUGUCACAACCACUCUUUCUGGAUCCUUCCACAGUCACCGCCAGCAUGAGUAGGAAGCAAGCUUUCUCUCCUUAAUUUGCACCCUUUAAGCUGAGCAUCAGGAAGAAGGAAACACCUGACAAGCUCAAGGAUCAGAAGGACACCAACCCUUCUCAAGUCACUCUGGAAGAUGACUAGCCUGCAUGUGCCCAAAGCUAGAGGAAACAUCAGCCCUGCUUCAGCCACUGUGGGCUGGAUGAUCCACACAAGGUGUAAGAUAAACUCACCAACAGGAAAAUGGACUGUUUCUCCCUCUAAGACAGCUCUUAUACUCUCAUUGCCACCACUUACCUCUUUCAUAUACACAGUCCUUUCUUUUGUCUUGACUCUAGGACUGAUAACAAUCAAACACAUAGUUAACACUAUCAGAAAACUACCACAUGUACCAGUUCAAACCUGAAAGGGUAUUACGGUUGGCAUCCAAGCUCACUAGUUGGUGGAUGGUUUCCUGUUCUUGAUGGAUUCAAAUCUUAAUUGACAUAGCAGGGAUUAUGCUAUGAACUUGUUCAUUGCUUCCAUGUUUGCUUCCUCUUUACAUUACAACUAGUGGGUCUACUAUAGAAGCAGCUGUUAAAAAAAAUAUGAUGUGACAUUAUAUAAAGCUUAAAUCCAAGAAGAUAAUAAUGCUUUUUGACUUAGAGGAUUAAAUAGUGAGCAUCAAAGGGGGUAAUGAUGUACCCCACAGAAGACCCCCAUCUUCAUUGUAAGAUAUAAGCCUCUCUCCUAGUCAAGGAGAUAAUUGUUUAAGAAGUGAGCAGGAUUUCUAGAGAACUUAUUGUGCUUUGCGCUCCUCUUUGUUGUGAAGGCCAGGUUUCUUGUAAAGGCCUGCAGGGCUGGGGUUGUGGUCAGUGACAGAGCACUUGCCUAGCAUAUGUGAGACCUGAGGUUUGAUUCUUGGCACCACCAAAAAACAGAAAAAAAUUACAUGUAUUAUUCUCAUCUACAAUUUUAAAAAAAAGGUCUCCAAUCAUGUGUGUUGAUGUGCAAAAGAUCUGUUUCCAUAGUAAAAAAUUUUGAAACCUCUUUCCAACCAAAGAACGUGGAACAAAAUGUAACUGUUAUGUUAACCAUUGUAUUGUACAACCACCAACUGAAUUCUCUGAGAAUUUCCAGACCUGGGGUCCAGAGAUU